rnacentral:rRNA from 1 species
GACGAACGCUGGCGGCGUGCUUAACACAUGCAAGUCGAACGGAAAGGCCCUGCUUUUGUGGGGUGCUCGAGUGGCGAACGGGUGAGUAACACGUGAGUAACCUGCCCUUGACUUUGGGAUAACUUCAGGAAACUGGGGCUAAUACCGGAUAGGAGCUCCUGCUGCAUGGUGGGGGUGGGAAAGUUUUGGCGGUUGGGGAUGGACUCGCGGCUUAUCAGCUUGUUGGUGGGGUAGUGGCUUACCAAGGCGUUGACGGGUAGCCGGCCUGAGAGGGUGACCGGCCACAUUGGGACUGAGAUACGGCCCAGACUCCUACGGGAGGCAGCAGUGGGGAAUAUUGCACAAUGGGCGGAAGCCUGAUGCAGCAACGCCGCGUGCGGGAUGACGGCCUUCGGGUUGUAAACCGCUUUCGCCUGGGACGAAGCGUGAGUGACGGUAAUGGGUAAAGAAGCACCGGCUAACUACGUG